GGGUGCGAUCUUACCAGCGUUAAUGCACCGGAUCCCAUCAGAACUCCGCAGUUAAGCGCGCUUGGGCUA
rnacentral:rRNA from 1 species